UGGUUGGCCCUUUUGGUUGUUUCCUUCCGCUCCGCUCGAUUAAAAAAAGUUGCUUUUCGUAUCAUCUGGUAAGGGGUUCGUGUCGGUCUCACUUGUAUUCUCGCGUCGCGUCGACGAGAAAUCCAGAGGGGAGAAAAAAAUCGCAGAACAAUUCGCAGAAGAGUAUAAAAUACUACCAAAAAACAGUAAGUGAGGGUAUUGGAAAAGAAUUCCGCAAAGCACAAAAAGCAGAAAGAAGGGCGACUAACGAUGAGGAUAGAGCAAGAGCAACAGCUUUAGUUGAACAAUAUCGCGAACCAGUGGCAGAGGUCGAGCGUUACAUCUUGACUGCAAGAGCAGAGAAGCUUUCCUUAAUCCGUUUAAAGAACACCAAACGUCUGCUCAAAGAUUUGAAGAACUCCGACUCUGCCAAGACUUCGUACUACAGAGGAUAUAGAGCAACAGCUUUACUAGAACAAUAUCGCGAACCAGCGGAAGAGGUCCGACGUUACAUCUUGACUGCAAGAGCAGAGAACACCAAACGUCUGCUCAAAGAUUUGAAGAUCUCUGACUCUGCCAAGACUACUUACUACAGUUGCUCCUGGUGCUGCUGAAAACAGAGAAAGAAGAAGAAGAUGGUGGCUAGCCAUGACUAACACGGUCAUUGAAAAGAACCAAGACGCAGAGGUAUGUUGUCUAGGAGGAUUAAUAGGGGAAGUUAGGGACAUAUUAAACUCAUUUUGAAAAAUAUUACUAUUCAAAACGAAAGGUUAGUAUUCAUCUGCUAUAUAACUGGUUUAGCAUUUGAGAUAAUCGUACAAAAAAAACGUUUCUUAUCUCUAAUGGUAUCUACUACUCUUCCAUGAUUCCACUAUAGUCUUCUAAUAUAUUCCAAGCGAUGAUACUUUCAUUAGACUAUUCAACUGUUACCAGUUUUAAGGCAUAAGAGAGUGCAACAACCCUCUUUGUUACUGCUUCACCAUAUUCACACUCUGAGCAACAAACAAGCAGACCGCUUUUGUGUUGGAGUUCUUGGUCUAGCGCUGUGGCGCGUAUCCAUAAGCUUGGUUCUGCAUAUGUCGAUUCUUGAUGAUCUGCAACGAGAUUGACCUCAAAGGCACAGUAACAUCCAAAGGUACAACAAGUACUUCUUCUAGCUCAGACCAGUCAAGAUCAGUAGUGACCCAAGAAAAACUUGCGAACUUGUCUACCCUCGAGCCAUUCGCCGCUUCCUACAUUGCCACUUGAUGAUGAUGAUGAUACUGGUUCGUCUUUGGGAACCAUACAAUCUGUUUGAGGUUCACCAUUGAUAACAACAGCAGGCUCCCCCGGUAUCUCGAAGAUCCCUGGAGGAAGAGACGGUGGUCCUUCUUGCUUAAUGCUCCCAGUAUUCUCCAUCUUUCUUGCUUCUGCAAGAAAGAAAGCUCACAGAGUUAAGUUAACCAGCAGAAGUCAAGAUUCAAAACAUUAGCUGAAUCACUCAUCCGUUCUAUAGGUUUCAGAACCGAUGAAACGUGGUGAAACUAAGGCGAAUCAUUCAUAUAACGGUUACACGAGAAUCAGAUACAAACUUGAACACGAACGAAUCAAACUUAACUCUGGAGAUUAAGCCAGACACGUUCUUGUUUGGCAACGCGGACAACUUAAACUCUGGAUGAUCCACUCAGCAAAUUUCUGCAACAAGAACAGUUCUGCAAAGUAAGAUUCCGACUUAACCGGAUGCUCUCCUCUGCGUCAAGAGGGAACCUCAUACGGAUACCGAAGCUCUCUCCGCAAUGGUCAUCUACCAACAUCACGUGCAAAUAUCUGAGUGAGGGGACUGAUUCGACGAAGCCGUUUUGGAUAAGUAAUGUGCUGAGUAGUGGUGUCUUGGAUCAUCUUCAUCUUGAUAUUAAUGCUAAAGGUAUACAUACAAGUGUUUAAGCAAAUGGAACCUUUCCUGGAGAAAUUCCCAUGUCUUAAGCUGCUCAAAGUCUCUGCUUGCUUGGGAAAAAGAUGAAAAAGCAAGGCUGCAACUUGCCACGGAUCUGCUAAUGCUUCCCAGAGCUCACAAGCUCCAGGUAGAGUUCUUUUCCUGAUAAACUAACUAAUGCAUCAAGUGGAAAUUUUUGUCCCUCUCUUGUUGCUUAAGUUUGUUCAAACCUGAAAAU